rnacentral:tmRNA from 1 species
GGGGUCGUUUUUGGUUUUGACAGCAAGGAUAAUGGAUUUGUAAGCAUGUCGAGCAAUGUUGGCUAACUCGUAAAACUGUUCAGCAAACCUAUAAGAGGCAAUAAUAAUAAUUAUGCUCUCGCUGCGUAACCGAAGUUUAGUAAGUUAAUGCUUAAUUCUGUACAUAGUUACAGAACGAGAUGUCUCACAAAAGGGAUUGCCCGAUUCCUUUUUGAUUUGAGGCACCGACAACAUCGGGAUAGUUUUGACAGAGCUUUGAUGUCAAAAUGAAAUUUAAGAAGCUAAGCAUAAAUUUUGGGUGCUUUUUCCCGAGUUUAUGUCGAAAAUCAAUAAAAAGAUAAGCAUGUAGAAAGCACUUUUGUUACUUGUUUGGACGCGGGUUCGACUCCCGCCGACUCCACUA